AUUCUUUUGUGGUUCAUAAACAUGAUGAUUGGGUAUUUAUACCACCAUGUGAAAUAUGCUUCCCUUGAAUUUUGUUAAGAUGUCUGAGG
rnacentral:snoRNA from 1 species